UACCGACGGCCCGAGUGGUAGCCACUCUUAUUGGGCCUAAAGCGUCCGUAGCCGGUCCAGUAAGUCCCUGUUUAAAUCCUGCGGCUUAACCGCAGGACUGGCAGGGAUACUGCUGGACUUGGGACCGGGAGAGGACAAGGGUACUCCAGGGGUAGCGGUGAAAUGUGUUGAUCCUUGGAGGACCACCUAUGGCGAAGGCGUCUCACUAGAACGGGUCCGACGGUCAGGGACGAAAGCUGGGGGCACGAACCGG
rnacentral:rRNA from 1 species